rnacentral:rRNA from 1 species
GAUGAACGCUGGCGGCGUGCCUAAUACAUGCAAGUCGAGCGAACAGACGAGGAGCUUGCUCCUCUGACGUUAGCGGCGGACGGGUGAGUAACACGUGGAUAACCUACCUAUAAGACUGGGAUAACUUCGGGAAACCGGAGCUAAUACCGGAUAAUAUAUUGAACCGCAUGGUUCAAUAGUGAAAGACGGUUUUGUUGUCACUUAUAGAUGGAUCCGCGCCGCAUUAGCUAGUUGGUAAGGUAACGGCUUACCAAGGCGACGAUGCGUAGCCGACCUGAGAGGGUGAUCGGCCACACUGGAACUGAGACACGGUCCAGACUCCUACGGGAGGCAGCAGUAGGGAAUCUUCCGCAAUGGGCGAAAGCCUGACGGAGCAACGCCGCGUGAGUGAUGAAGGUCUUCGGAUCGUAAAACUCUGUUAUUAGGGAAGAACAAAUGUGUAAGUAACUAUGCACGUCUUGACGGUACCUAAUCAGAAAGCCACGGCUAACUACGU